CACGGGGGGAGCAAGCGUUGUUCGGAAUUACUGGGCGUAAAGGGCGUGUAGGCGGUCAAGUAAGUGGAAUGUGAAACGCCUCGGCUUACCCGAGGACCUGCAUCCCAAACUGCUUGGCUUGAGUAUGGGAGAGGAUGAGGGAAUUCCUGGUGUAGCGGUGAAAUGCGUAGAUAUCAGGAAGAACACCCGUGGCGAAGGCGGCUCUCUGGGACGGUACUGACGCUGAGACGCGAAAGCGUGGGGAGCGAACAGG
rnacentral:rRNA from 1 species